rnacentral:rRNA from 1 species
UACGAAGGGGGCGAGCGUUGUUCGGAUUUACUGGGCGUAAAGGGCGCGCAGGCGGCGUAUCAAGUCAGGCGUGAAAGCCCCGGGCUUAACCUGGGAACUGCAUUUGUGACUGCAUAGCUAGAGUACGGUAGAGGGGGAUGGAAUUCCGCGUGUAGCAGUGAAAUGCGUAGAUAUGCGGAGGAACACCGAUGGCGAAGGCAAUCCCCUGGACCUGUACUGACGCUCAUGCACGAAAGCGUGGGGAGCAAACAGG